UCCCAGACUCCUACGGGAGGCAGCAGUGGGGGAUAUUGCACAAUGGGGGGAACCCUGAUGCAGCGACGCCGCGUGGGUGAAGGAGCGUUUCGGCGCGUAAAGCCCUAUCGGCAGGGAAGAAGAUGACGGUACCUGACCAAGAAGCCCCGGCUAACUACGUGCCAGCAGCCGCGGUAAUACGUAGGGGGCAAGCGUUAUCCGGAUUUACUGGGUGUAAAGGGGGCGCAGACGGCAAUGCAAGCCAGGAGUGAAAGCCCGGGGCCCAACCCCGGGACUGCUCUGGAAACUGCGUCGCUGGAGUACGGGAGGGGCAGGCGGAAUUCCUGGUGUAGCGGUGAAAUGCGUAGAUAUCAGGAGGAACACCGGCGGCGAAGGCGGCCUACUGGACGGUGACUGACGCUGAGGCUCGAAAGCGUGGGGAGCAAACAGGAUUAGAUACCCUGGUAC
rnacentral:rRNA from 1 species